AUGUGGACCCGUCUCCGUUAGCGCUAUCAGCCCUCUGGUGAUGCCUUAUAUCUGUCCGUGGUUCGGCAGGAACAUGCUCUUCAGCAGGGUGACUCCAGUGUUGAUGAUUUCUAUGCACAGAGUUCUGCUAUCUGGCGUCAGCUUGAUUCUCUCCGCACUGCUGGUUGCCGUACUUGUCAGUGUUGCCAGGCUGUGCGGGCUGAUUUGGAGUUUCAUCGUGUCUACGAGUUCUUAUCUCGGCUCCGUAAGGAGUUUGAGCCCCGGCGCGCUCAGUUGUUUGCUCGUGGUCGUAUCUCCCUCAUGGAGGCGCUUUCUGAGAUUCGUGCUGAGGAGACUCGUCUACGUGGUGCUGGUCUACUUGAGGUUCCCUCUGUGCUUGCUGCUCGAGUUCCUAUUAUGUCGCCUACUGCACCGACUCCAUCCCGCUCCAGUGCUCCUCCGCUCUUGCCUACUCCUACGGGCGGCCAGGGUCGGUCUCGUCCUCACUGCGGCUACUGCAAUAUGGAUGGUCAUGUUGAGUAUCAGUGCUUCCAGAAGAAGAAACACCUGCGUAAGGCGUGAUCAUCAGCUUCAGGGACUUCUUCU
rnacentral:rRNA from 1 species